rnacentral:rRNA from 1 species
GCACUUUCAGUCGUGAGGAAGGUAGUGUAGUUAAUAGCUGCAUUAUUUGACGUUAGCGACAGAAGAAGCACCGGCUAACUCCGUGCCAGCAGCCGCGGUAAUACGGAGGGUGCGAGCGUUAAUCGGAAUUACUGGGCGUAAAGCGCAUGCAGGUGGUUUGUUAAGUCAGAUGUGAAAGACCCGGGGCGUCAACCUACGGAAUAGCAUUUAGUAAACUGGCAGACUAGAGUACUGUAGAGGGGGGUAGGAAUUUCAGGUGUAGCGGUGAAAUGCGUAGAGAUCUGAAGGAAUACCGGUGGCGAAGGCGGCCCCCUCGGACAGAUACUGACACUCAGAUGCGAAAGCGUGGGGAGCAAACAGGAUUAGAUACCCUGGUAG